rnacentral:miRNA from 10 species
CUUUGUCAUACAUUCGUCACGGU